AGUUGCUUCAUCAUUCAGUUGGAUAAGCGCGGUGUUGGGAGUGUGGUGAUAUCAAAAUUUCUCACAAUCAUCAUGGAUAGACGGAAGUUAUCCACAACGGGGGAGUCGCUGUACCAGACGCUGGGCGUGCCAAAAGAGUCCACACCUGAAGAGAUAAAGAAGACCUACAGGAAGUUGGCCCUCAAAUAUCACCCUGACAAGAACCCCAACAACCCUGAGGCUGCUGAGAAGUUCAAGGAAGUGAACCACGCACACCGCAUCCUGAGCGACCAGACCAAGCGCAACAUAUACGACACGUACGGCUCCCUGGGGCUGUACAUCGCUGAGCAGUUCGGCGAGGAGAAUGUCAACACAUACUUCCUUGUCAACUCGGGCUGGUGCAAGGCGCUGUGCUUGUUCUGCGGUAUAGCGACCCUGGGUUACUUCUGCUGCUGCUGCUUCUGUUGCUGCUGCAACUUCUGCUUCGGCAAGUGCAAGCCCCGGCCACCCGAGGACAGCGGCGACUACCAGAACCUCAAUCCGGAAAAUCAGGAGCCGAAAAAUCCUAGCGACCCUGUCACUGAUCAGCCCAAGUCGUCGGCGGCGGCGCCGGGCAUCAAGGCCAUUACUGAAGGUACAGAUUCGCAAGCCGAGGAUGACACAGACGAUGAACAAGGAGGAGCUGGAGGAGGAGGCAGCUCGUGGUGGAGCAAGUGGUGGAAGCGGCCAGCCCGUGACGCAGCAACCAACCAGCAACCCGUUCAAGGCGGGGCAGCAGCAGCCUCCCCAGCAGCCAGUGUACGCGAUGCCGGCACCGGGGCAGCCCACCCCUCCUAGCAACCCCUUCAAGGCCGCCAGCGAAAACUCUUCGCUCAACUCGGCCCAGCAGCCCACCUACACACCAGGAGGCCUGUGAAGACUCGAUGACCCGUACGCAGCCAUGACGGACGCUCCGGUGGCCUCGGGAUAGUUCAUCACAUUCACUCGUUUCCUUCCUACUUUAAGUCACCGUUUACGUCCCUUCAGUGCAGUCUCGUCUGAAUAAUUUUAGCAGGUCUCCAGCAUUCCUGUUCUAGGAGCUCGUUCUCGCUGUCCGAGACUUUGCAUUCAUGUUCUCGAAGAACGUAGCGAAACCAUCAUUAAAUAUGUCGUGUUCUCAUAGGAAAAUCUUCCAAAUCACAUUGAAAAAUUGUACAUGUAUUUAGUAAAGAUCCCUAGAAGAAUAUAUUAUGAAUAUCGUUAGUUUUUCGUGAUUUAUUUCUUUAAUUUCUGCACUUCAUUCCGGAGUCUGCAGAAAAUUUCAACUCUAUGAUAUGUUUCUGUCUGACUCCAUAGAAUUGUUUUUUUCCUCCAAAAAAGCUCUCCGUCUUCCCGCUGACUGGUGAUUAUUCGCCAUUUAAGGACUUGGUUGUUCACUGGUCUGCGAAUGUUGGCGAUUCUAUCUAAAAAGCAUCGCAUAUCGCAAUAAUGUCUUGUCCUAACUAUAGGAAAUAUUGGUCUGAGCACUCACGUGCAGUUGGUUAAACCGCCGCUUGUGGCGCCAGAGUAUCAGGCUACAGCGUUGGCGCCCGAGUAUCGACGUCCGACUGCGGUGUUGGCGCCCGAGUGAUGGGGUUUUUACCCUUUGUUUGGUUGCAUAGUUUUACGUCAGCUGGUGUAGGCUUUGUUGUAUCUAUAAGUCGGACAAGGAAUAUAUGCCAGGUGUGCGGAAUUGUUUUGAAGUGCAUCUCUGCUCUUCUUUGUCUGCUUGCUUUUAUCAUGUACUCACUGCCUCAUUUAUUAUGAAUUUGAUUAGCAACGAAGAAAUGUCCAAGCAGUUGCACAUUAUAGAUCAUGAUCUUUGCAAGGCAUGCGGCUGAUGUUUGCUUGUGUUUGUAUCGGUGAUUGAUUUAAGCUUGAGAGCCAAGGAGAAGUUUUGUGCAUCGACAUAGAUUGGAAUUGAAAUUUUAACACGAAGUAUACAUAUUUAUUUAUAUUUUAAAUCUUUUCUAAAAACUCCUGGUGUCUAUAUUGCAAUUUUAUUAUCUGAAAAUAUAUCGAUUGUGGUAGAUUAGUGUGCAUGUACCCCAGACCUCCAGACAAAAAAUUUUAAAGAAUGAAGACAUGAGAAAUGUUAUCCUCCCAACCCUAAUUUUUCUAGAAACUGAUAGAUACUUAUAUCUGUUCAGGCACGAACAAGUUAAUAUUCAAUUGAUAUCUAAGCUAUUCUUCGUUGGAAACCUUUACUGUUAAUUAAAUAAGAACUAAAGCUCUAGACUUACUCCUCUUUGAAAGCUGAGCUUUGCUCUCCUAUCUCUCCUCGCUUUUCUUUCUUUGCUACUCUUUCCAUUUGCUCUUCUUUCUCUUUUUUUUCUCUUUCCUCCCUUUAUCUCUUAGCUCUUCCUUCCCUGUAUUUGCUCUUCUUUGCCCCACUGCAUGAUAAUGUACAUUGCACGUAACUUAAUCUUAUCUUGAUAUUAUUGCGGUUAUAGUUCGCAUUGACGGUCGAAGCAGAAAUGUGUGUUCCCACGAGCGCGCUUCUCAGCAUUUCUUGAGCUCUGUAACACGCAUGCUUCUCUUAAUGUUCUCUGUGAGGUAAUGUAAGUACGUCGUUGGUAAAUUUCAUUGUACAUUGCUGGUAGUAAUCCAAUGUCUUAUAGGCGUCGAUUCCAUCAUACUUGUACUCAUCUGGCGAUGUAAUAGUUUGGUACAUUCCUAGUCAUCAAGUUAUAAAUAAGUUAGUCCAGCUCACUGGCGUUACUAAUUACGCAAGGCUGCAUAAUUGAUUGUCCAGAUUUUCGGCGUACCAACCAAGUUUAGUAAUGCUAGAUAAUUGAUUGAAGAACUGGAAACCGUAUCAAAAUCAAUCGAUUGUAGCUGACGUUGAAUUAAGGUUUUGUUUUAAAUUCAGUUGAAUUGUUCCUUGCCCCCCGUCGCUGAUGUCUGAAGCGUGCCGGUUCGUCACAACUCCACCGCUUGCGUGUGUGUUGCAUUAGUGCGGUGCUGCGUCUCUUGUAUAGACCUUGUAUGAUAGGUCUUUGCUCCCUUGUUUAGUGUGUGGUACGCUGCAUAUGUACGCUCCGUCUUACUCCGUCGUACUUACGUUUGCAUGCUUACGGCUGUAUUAUGUAUUGUUAUAAGAGUUAACUUGACUGAGCAUCCCGCUGUCUGGCUCGCUUUCUUCCGCCGUCGUAUGAGAUUUAAUUAAACUCGUUAAAAUGAACUUGGUAAUGGUGUAUUUCCGCUUGCAAACUCUUACUGAUUAUCGAAACUGAGCUCCUGACGUCACAAGUGUCAUGGUGACGCCUAAUUAAGCUCCUGACGUCACACGUGCCAGUGAGACACGCUUGACAGCGGUGAAGCCGUCCCAUUUCUAUUUAACUUCUUCAAGACUUUGCAGAACUUUGGUCUUCUGACUAUUUUAAUGCCUACCCCAGCUGUGGUGCCAGCAAAGCGUCUCAGCACAUCCUAUAUAGAAUGACAAUGUUGUGAAUAUUGAUCUCUGUUUCUUUUCUUCCUGGUGUCGACAUUUUGAAGUGUAACUUCUCCGUUGUGCGAAGCACGAGUUUAUAUUGCAGCGAGCAGCGCCUGCAUGGCGAGGCGAGUAACCUUGUUUGUGUGUGUCGAAUAACCUUCUGUGGCAGCUGUAAUUCACGUGCUGCUAUAUGUUUGUAUGUGAGAUGCAUGUAUUAAUGAACUGUAUUACUGUCUCCAAGCGUGUCGCAUGUCUUACUUUUGACCGUGGGGGCGGCUUGCGGAAAAAUAUUUACCUUUGCUCGUUACUUGUUAUAGGUUAGUGGCGUCCAGUGAACCUGUUCUUGUUACCAAAUAAUUUGUAUCAUCUAUUCACAAGAGUGCUAGUGUCUCGAGCGUCUCUUCACUAGAAUGCUAGUUGUUCGAGCGCUUUAGUCGCUAGUAUCUCGCAAGCGUCCGUUAAAUCGAGUAAAACUGUAUUUGAACGCAUUUUCGGAGUGCCAGCAACUACUGCCGGUCAAUGGGAAAGUCACGGUUAUUUAUUAAAUUUAUUUCUCGUAAGGGCUAUUUUUUGCUGCUUAGAUGAGCCAUCGUAUUGCUGAAUGUAUUUCAAGGUUUACUAAGACACAUUUGUCGUCGAAAUGUCCAGCCUUAGAUCUGCGUCGGUCGCAAUCGGUGGGGUUUAGCAAUAACUGUAAUCCGUAUGCUCUAGGCUGUAUAUGUUCUGCACUUCAUGGAGCCAAUGUUAUCAUUCGCCAUUCGAUAGAAGAUGCCAAUAAAGAUGAUCAUAGCUAAAUUUGUAUAUUGAUUCUUUUGAGGACGGCAGUGCUUGUUGAGCCCUGAAGACGUUAAAUAUCAGCGAUUACUCAUAGCUCGCGACGAACACUUUACUGGACUGACAUAAACGUGAGGCAAUAGUCAUGUUAGUUUAUAAAUAAUGGAAAGAUACUAAAGCUGCUGAUUUACUGUAGGCAGGGACAUGUCAGGUCGUUUAUUUGAUGUACAUAAUUGCCAUUUUCUUGAUCGUCCUGUGAUUUUAGUUCUUAGUCGGAAUUCGUAGGGGCCCAUUAGUGUGCGUGCACUUGAACCGACCCCAUUGUUAAUGCUUUGUUGUCACGGGAUCAUGGUCAGGUGCGUUGUCACGGGGUCGUGGUCAGGUGCGUUGUCACGGGAUCUUUGUCAAUGUUGUCACGGGAUCUUGGUCAAUGUUGUCACGGGAUCGUGGUCAGUUGCGUUGUAACAGGUAAGCUCGUUGUCACGGGGCCACACCCCCAAGGCAACGCUAUUGAACAUCUGUUAUGCGCAGUGACGGCAAAUGCUUGCAGUGAGAAGCACAAGCAAACUCCACGGCGACUGCUAUGCAUUGCUUCUGAGUAUUGAAUGCGGCAGUGUAAUUAUUUACACCAUGUAAACGAGACCAUCAAAAAAUUAUUAGGCCAUGUAUUAUUUUAAUAUAUGUACAGUUUGUUCCUUCGCUGAUAUUUAGUUUCUAAAAUAAUUUCAUAUCUCUGAGAAACGAUGCCACCAGGAAAGGGGGAUGUUGUUUGAAAAAACCUUAAAGGAACGGAUACUUCCCAACCAACUUCAUCUUUAGCAAUGAACAAUUACAAGAUGAUCAGCUAUUGUAUUGAUUGAUGGAAUGUGAUACAUUGGCUGGGAGGCAGAAUGUCUCGCAUUCCUCUGCAUUGGUAGCAUCGAGUGUCGGUCCUCAACGCUCAGUUCAUGUUUCCUGAUGUGUAUUUUACGUUCCUUGUAGGUAUUUCAAGUAGCUUUAUUUCCAUCUGGCCUCUUAGGCGAGGCGCAUAUCCGUCUUAAAUGGUUUCUUAUAACCGCAUUGUCUUGAUUGGUGCAUAUCAAGCACUUCAUUUGGGUAUAAGACUCUAUGUUAAUUUCUACAAUUUUUUUACCAACCCCAGUGUAUUUUAUUUACUCAACUGGAGGGGUUUGAAGCCGGUUUUCAAGCAAGGAGUUCCCAGUUCCAUCCUAAGCGGUGUGGCUAACUUAUCCUUGUUUCUCUAACAGCUGAAACUAUAAGCAUGUAAUAUGAGGUCGAAUAUUUAGCUCUAGGUAAUCGUGAAGUGUAGAUAAUUUCGUGUUCUGGCAAUGUAGUUCUAUUCACUAUCAUAAAUUAUCUUGAGUCUGUGAAGGCAUCGAUGUUUUUAAAUGACAGUAAAUAUUUCAUUUCA
rnacentral:misc_RNA from 1 species